rnacentral:snRNA from 1 species
AUCGCUUCUCGGCCUUUUGGCUAAGAUCAAGUGUAGAGGGAGUUCUUUGCCUUUUGAAAAUUUUAAUAAGAAUUUUAUGUUAUAACAUAUGAAAGUUUCAACAUAGCAUUGAAUCAUAAAACAAGAGUGGAGCUCACUUC